rnacentral:ncRNA from 1 species
CUUUUACGGGCUGUAGUUGCGGAAUGCACGUUGCAUUCCUAUUCCAUGGCAGAUGCGGUCAAAAGGAUCCACGUAAGCGUGUGCCGCAAGGCACCGUGAGCAUGGCGCAUUCUAGAUGUAAGACGCACCGUCCGUUUACCUUAUGCGGCAUACCGUCGCGCGGACGAGAGGGUGAUGGUGAACAGCUCAGCUCCAGUGCGCGAGUGUGGGGGCAAAGACUAGGUCAGCCGUAACAG